rnacentral:rRNA from 1 species
AACGAACGCUGGCGGCAGGCUUAACACAUGCAAGUCGAACGCAUCCUUCGGGGUGAGUGGCAGACGGGUGAGUAACGCGUGGGAACGUGCCCUUCAGUUCGGGAUAACCCAGGGAAACUUGGGCUAAUACCGGAUACGUGCGAGAGCAGAAAGAUUUAUCGCUGAAGGAUCGGCCCACGUCUGAUUAGCUAGUUGGUGGGGUAAUGGCCCACCAAGGCGACGAUCAGUAGCUGGUCUGAGAGGAUGAUCAGUCACAUUGGGACUGAGAAACGGCCCAAACUCCUACGGGAGGCAGCAGUGGGGAAUAUUGGACAAUGGGCGCAAGCCUGAUCCAGCCAUGCCGCGUGAGUGAUGAAGGCCUUAGGGUUGUAAAGCUCUUUCGUCCGGGACGAUAAUGACGGUACCGGAAGAAGAAGCCCCGGCUAACUUCGUGCCAGCCGCCGCAGUAA